rnacentral:rRNA from 1 species
UACCAGACUCCUACGGGAGGCAGCAGUGGGGAAUAUUGCACAAUGGGGGAAACCCUGAUGCAGCGACGCCGCGUGAGCGAAGAAGUAUUUCGGUAUGUAAAGCUCUCUCAGCAGGGAAGAAAUUGACGGUACCUGAGUAAGAAGCUCCGGCUAACUACGUGCCAGCAGCCGCGGUAAUACGUAGGGGGCAAGCGUUAUCCGGAUUUACUGGGUGUAAAGGGGGCGCAGACGGCGAUGCAAGCCAGGAGUGAAAGCCCGGGGCCCAACCCCGGGACUGCUCUUGGAACUGCGUGGCUGGAGUGCAGGAGGGGCAGGCGGAAUUCCUGGUGUAGCGGUGAAAUGCGUAGAUAUCAGGAGGAACACCGGUGGCGAAGGCGGCCUGCUGGACUGCAACUGACGUUGAGGCCCGAAAGCGUGGGGAGUAAACAGGAUUAGAUACCCUCGUAC